rnacentral:lncRNA from 1 species
AUCCACCCGAGUUUCGCUACCCGGAAAUAGUGCAUUCGGGUGCCGAAAUGCACCCGUUUUGCAUCAUUUUUCGUUCCGGAACCUAAUGCUCAAAAACACUCCCAAACAUGUUCUAGGGAAUAAUUAUGAAGAUUGCAUGCGUUCGUUGCGAAAAAAUCCACCCGAGUUUCGCUACCCGGAAAUAGUGCAUUCGGGUGCCGAAAUGCACCCGUUUUGCAUCAUUUUUCGUGCCGAAGCCGAAUGGUCAAAAACACUCCCAAACAUGUUCUAGUGUCUAAUUAGGAAGAUUGCAUGCGUUCGUUGCGAAAAAAUCCACCCGAGUUUCGCUACCCGGAAAUAGUGCAUUCGGGUGCCGAAAUGCACCCGUUUUGCAUCAUUUUUCGUUCCGGAACCGACUACUCAAAAACACUCCCAAACAUGUUCUAGGGUAUAAUUAUGAAGAUUGCAUGCGUUCGUUGCGAAAAAAUCCACCUGAGUUUCGCUACCCAGAAAUAGUGCAUUCUGGUGCCGAAAUGCACCCGUUUUGCAUCGUUUUUCGUGCUGGAACCGAAUGCUCAAAAACACUCCCAAACAUGUUCUAGUGUAUAAUUAGGAAGAUUGCAUGCGUUCGUUGCGAAAAAAUCCACCCGAGUUUCGCUACGAGGAAAUAGUGCAUUCGGGUGCUGAAAUGCACCCGUUUUGCAUCGUUUUUCGUGCCAUAACCGAAUGCUCAAAAAGACUCCCAAACAUGUUCUAGGGUAUAAUUAGGAAGAUUGCAUACGUUCGUUGCGAAAAAAUCCACCCGAGUUUCGCUACCCGGAAAUAGUGCAUUCGGGUGCCGAAAUGCAGCCGUUUUGCAUCAUUUUUCAUGCUAGAACCGAAUGCUCAAAAACACUCCCAAACAUGUUCUAGGGUCUAAUUACGUAGAUUGGAUGCGUUCGUUGCGAAAAAAAUCCACCUGAAUUUCGCUACCCGGAAAUAGUGCAUUCGGGUGCCGAAAUGCACCCAUUUUGCAUCAUUUUUUGUUCCGGAAUCGAAUGCUCAAAAACACUCCGAAACAUGUUCUAGGGUCUAAUUAUGAAGAUUGCAUGCGUUCGUUGCGAAAAAAUCUACCCGAGUUUCGCUACCCGGAAAUAGUGCAUUCGGUUGCUGAAAUGCACCCGUUUUGCAUCAUUUUUCGUGCCGGAACCGAAUGCUCAAAAACACUCCAAAACAUGUUCUAGGGUCUAAUUAGGAAGAUUGCAUGCAUUCGUUGCGAAAAAAUGCACCCGAGUUUCGCUACCCGGAAAUAGUGCAUUCGGGUGCCGAAUUGCACCUGUUUUGUAUCGUUUUUCGUUCUGGAACCGUUGCUCAAAAACACUCCCAAACAUGUUCUAGGGUAUAAUUAUGAAGAUUGCAUGCGUUCGUUGCGAAAAAAUCCACCCGAGUUUCGCUACACGGAAAAAGUGCAUUCGGGUGCCGAAAUGCACCCGUUUUGCAUCGAUUUUCGUUCCGGAACCGAAUGCUCAAAAAGACUCCCAAACAUGUUCUAGGGUAUAAUUAGGAAGAUUGCAUGCAUUCGUUACGAAAAAAUCCACCCGAGUUUCGCUACACGGAAAAAGUGCAUUCGGGUGCCGAAAUGCACCCGAUUUGCCUCGUUUUUCGUUCCGGAACCGAAUGCUCAAAAACACUCCUAAACAUGUUCUAGGGUAUAAUUAGGAAGAUUGCAUGCGUUCGUUGCAAAAAAAUCCGCCCGAGUCUCGCUACCCGGCAAUAGUGCAUUCGGGUGCCGAAAUGCACCCGUUUUGCAUCAUUUUUCGUUCCGGAACCGAAUGCUCAAAAACACUCCCAAACAUGUUCUAGGGUAUAAUUAGGAAGAUUGCAUGCGUUCGUUGUGAAAAAAUCCACCCGAGUGUUGCUACCCGGCAAUAGUGCAUUCGGGUGCCGAAUUGCACCCGUUUUGCAUCAUUUUUCGUUCCGGAACCGAAUGCUCAAAAACACUCCCAAACAUGUUCUAGGGUAUAAUUAGGAAGAUUGCAUGCGUUCGUUGCGAAAAAAUCCACCCGAGUGUCGCUACCCGGCAAUAGUGCAUUCGGUUGCCGAAAUGCACCCGUUUUGUAUCGUUUUUGUUCUGGAACCGUUGCUCAAAAACACUCCAAAACAUGUUCUAUGGUCUAAUUAGGAAGAUUGCAUGCAUUCGUUGCGAAAAAAUCCACCCGAGUUUCGCUACCCGGAAAUAGUGCAUUCGGGUGCCGAAUUGCACCUGUUUUGUAUCGUUUUUCGUUCUGGAACCGUUGCUCAAAAACACUCCCAAACAUGUUCUAGGGUAUAAUUAUGAAGAUUGCAUGCGUUCGUUGCGAAAAAAUCCACUCGAGUUUCGCUACACGGAAAAAGUGCAUUCGGGUGCCGAAAUGCACCCGUUUUGCAUCGUUUUUCGUUCCGGAACCGAAUGCUCAAAAACACUCCCAAACAUGUUCUAGGGUAUAAUUAGGAAGAUUGCAUGCAUUCAUUGCGAAAAAAUCCACCCGAGUUUCGCUACCCGGCAAUAGUGCAUUCGGGUGCCGAAAUGCACCCGUUUUGCAUCAUUUUUCGUUCCGGAACCGAAUGCUCAAAAACACUCCCAAACAUGUUCUAGGGUAUAAUUUGGAAGAUUGCAUGCGUUCGUUGCGAAAAAAUCCACCCGAGUUUCGCUACGAGGAAAUAGUGCAUUCGGGUGCUGAAAUGCACCCGUUUUGCAUCGUUUUUCGUGCCAUAACCGAAUGCUCAAAAAGACUGCCAAACAUGUUCUAGGGUAUAAUUAGGAAGAUUGCAUAUGUUUGUUGCGAAAAAAUCCACCUGAGUUUCGCUACCCGGAAAUAGUGCAUUCGGGUGCCGAAAUGCAGCCGUUUUGCAUCAUUUUUCAUGCUAGAACCGAAUGCUCAAAAACACUCCCAAACAUGUUCUAGGGUCUAAUUACGUAGAUUGGAUGCGUUCGUUGCGAAAAAAAUCCACCUGAAUUUCGCUACCCGGAAAUAGUGCAUUCGGGUGCCGAAAUGCACCCAUUUUGCAUCAUUUUUUGUUCCGGAAUCGAAUGCUCAAAAACACUCCGAAACAUGUUCUAGGGUCUAAUUAUGAAGAUUGCAUGCGUUCGUUGCGAAAAAAUCUACCCGAGUUUCGCUACCCGGAAAUAGUGCAUUCGGUUGCUGAAAUGCACCCGUUUUGUAUCGUUUUUCGUGCCGGAACCGAAUGCUCAAAAACACUCCAAAACAUGUUCUAGGGUCUAAUUAGGAAGAUUGCAUGCAUUCGUUGCGAAAAAAUGCACCCGAGUUUCGCUACCCGGAAAUAGUGCAUUCGGGUGCCGAAUUGCACCUGUUUUGUAUCGUUUUUCGUUCUGGAACCGUUGCUCAAAAACACUCCCAAACAUGUUCUAGGGUAUAAUUAUGAAGAUUGCAUGCGUUCGUUGCGAAAAAAUCCACCCGAGUUUCGCUACACGGAAAAAGUGCAUUCGGGUGCCGAAAUGCACCCGUUUUGCAUCGUUUUUCGUUCCGGAACCGAAUGCUCAAAAAGACUCCCAAACAUGUUCUAGGGUAUAAUUAGGAAGAUUGCAUGCGUUCGUUGCGAAAAAAUCCACCCGAGUUUCGCUACACGGAAAAAGUGCAUUCGGGUGCCGAAAUGCACCCGAUUUGCCUCGUUUUUCGUUCCGGAACCGAAUGCUCAAAAACACUCCUAAACAUGUUCUAGGGUAUAAUUAGGAAGAUUGCAUGCGUUCGUUGCGAAAAAAUCCGCCCGAGUCUCGCUACCCGGCAAUAGUGCAUUCGGGUGCCGAAAUGCACCCGUUUUGCAUCAUUUUUCGUUCCGGAACCGAAUGCUCAAAAACACUCCCAAACAUGUUCUAGGGUAUAAUUAGGAAGAUUGCAUGCGUUUGUUGUGAAAAAAUCCACCCGAGUGUUGCUACCCGGCAAUAGUGCAUUCGGGUGCCGAAUUGCACCCGUUUUGCAUCAUUUUUCGUUCCGGAACCGAAUGCUCAAAAACACUCCCAAACAUGUUCUAGGGUAUAAUUAGGAAGAUUGCAUGCGUUCGUUGCGAAAAAAUCCACCCGAGUGUCGCUACCCGGCAAUAGUGCAUUCGGUUGCCGAAAUGCACCCGUUUUGUAUCGUUUUUGUUCUGGAACCGUUGCUCAAAAACACUCCAAAACAUGUUCUAUGGUCUAAUUAGGAAGAUUGCAUGCAUUCGUUGCGAAAAAAUCCACCCGAGUUUCGCUACCCGGAAAUAGUGCAUUCGGGUGCCGAAUUGCACCUGUUUUGUAUCGUUUUUCGUUCUGGAACCGUUGCUCAAAAACACUCCCAAACAUGUUCUAGGGUAUAAUUAUGAAGAUUGCAUGCGUUCGUUGCGAAAAAAUCCACUCGAGUUUCGCUACACGGAAAAAGUGCAUUCGGGUGCCGAAAUGCACCCGUUUUGCAUCGUUUUUCGUUCCGGAACCGAAUGCUCAAAAACACUCCCAAACAUGUUCUAGGGUAUAAUUAGGAAGAUUGCAUGCAUUCGUUGCGAAAAAAUCCACCCGAGUUUCGCUACCCGGCAAUAGUGCAUUCGGGUGCCGAAAUGCACCCGUUUUGCAUCAUUUUUCGUUCCGGAACCGAAUGCUCAAAAACACUCCCAAACAUGUUCUAGGGUAUAAUUUGGAAGAUUGCAUGCGUUCGUUGCGAAAAAAUCCACCCGAGUUUCGCUACCCGGCAAUAGUCCAUUCGGGUGCCGAAAUGCACCCAUUUUGCCUCGUUUUUCAUGCCGGAACGGAAUGCUCAAAAACACUCCCAACCAUGUUCUAGUCUAUAAUUAGGAAGAUUGCAUGCGUUCGUUGCGAAAAAAUCCACCCGAGUUUCGCUACCCGGAAAUAGUGCAUUCGGGUGCCGAAAUGCAGCCGUUUUGCAUCAUUUUCAUGCUAGAACCGAAUGCUCAAAAACACUCCCAAACAUGUUCUAGGGUCUAAUUACGUAGAUUGGAUGCGUUCGUUGCGAAAAAAUCCACCUGAAUUUCGCUACCCGGAAAUAGUGCAUUCGGGUGCCGAAAUGCACCCAUUUUGCAUCAUUUUUUGUUCCGGAAUCGAAUGCUCAAAAACACUCCGAAACAUGUUCUAGGGUCUAAUUAUGAAGAUUGCAUGCGUUCAUUGCGAAAAAAUCUACCCGAGUUUCGCUACCCGGAAAUAGUGCAUUCGGUUGCUGAAAUGCACCCGUUUUGCAUCGUUUUUCGUGCCGGAACCGAAUGCUCAAAAACACUCCAAAACAUGUUCUAGGGUCUAAUUAGGAAGAUUGCAUGCAUUCGUUGCGAAAAAAUGCACCCGAGUUUCGCUACCCGGAAAUAGUGCAUUCGGGUGCCGAAUUGCACCUGUUUUGUAUCGUUUUUCGUUCUGGAACCGUUGCUCAAAAACACUCCCAAACAUGUUCUAGGGUAUAAUUAUGAAGAUUGCAUGCGUUCGUUGCGAAAAAAUCCACCCGAGUUUCGCUACACGGAAAAAGUGCAUUCGGGUGCCGAAAUGCACCCGUUUUGCAUCGUUUUUCGUUCCGGAACCGAAUGCUCAAAAAGACUCCCAAACAUGUUCUAGGGUAUAAUUAGGAAGAUUGCAUGCGUUCGUUGCAAAAAAAUCCACCCGAGUUUCGCUACACGCAAAAAGUGCAUUCGGGUGCCGAAAUGCACCCGAUUUGCCUCGUUUUUCGUUCCGGAACCGAAUGCUCAAAAACACUCCUAAACAUGUUCUAGGGUUUAAUUAGGAAGAUUGCAUGCGUUCGUUGCGAAAAAAUCCGCCCGAGUCUCGCUACCCGACAAUAGUGCAUUCGGGUGCCGAAAUGCACCCGUUUUGCAUCAUUUUUCGUUCCGGAACCGAAUGCUCAAAAACACUCCCAAACAUGUUCUAGGGUAUAAUUAGGAAGAUUGCAUGCGUUCGUUGUGAAAAAAUCCACCCGAGUGUUGCUACCCGGCAAUAGUGCAUUCGGGUGCCGAAUUGCACCCGUUUUGCAUCAUUUUUCGUUCCGGAACCGAAUGCUCAAAAACACUCCCAAACAUGUUCUAGGGUAUAAUUAGGAAGAUUGCAUGCGUUCGUUGCGAAAAAAUCCACCCGAGUGUCGCUACCCGGCAAUAGUGCAUUCGGUUGCCGAAAUGCACCCGUUUUGUAUCGUUUUUGUUCUGGAACCGUUGCUCAAAAACACUCCAAAACAUGUUCUAGGGUCUAAUUAGGAAGAUUGCAUGCGUUCGUUGCGAAAAAAUCCACCCGAGUUUUGCUACCCGGAAAUAGUGCAUUCGGGUGCCGAAUUGCACCUGUUUUGUAUCGUUUUUCGUUCUGGAACCGUUGCUCAAAAACACUCCCAAACAUGUUCUAGGGUAUAAUUAUGAAGAUUGCAUGCGUUCGUUGCGAAAAAAUCCACUCGAGUUUCGCUACACGGAAAAAGUGCAUUCGGGUACCGAAAUGCACCCGUUUUGCAUCGUUUUUCGUUCCGGAACCGAAUGCUCAAAAACACUCCCAAACAUGUUCUAGGGUAUAAUUAGGAAGAUUGCAUGCAUUCGUUGCGAAAAAAUCCACCCGAGUUUCGCUACCCGGCAAUAGUGCAUUCGGGUGCCGAAAUGCACCCGUUUUGCAUCAUUUUUCGUUCCGGAACCGAAUGCUCAAAAACACUCCCAAACAUGUUCUAGGGUAUAAUUUGGAAGAUUGCAUGCGUUCGUUGCGAAAAAAUCCACCCGAGUUUCGCUACCCGGCAAUAGUGCAUUCGGGUGCCGAAAUGCACCCAUUUUGCCUCGUUUUUCGUGCCGGAACGGAAUGCUCAAAAACACUCCCAACCAUGUUCUAGUCUAUAAUUAGGAAGAUUGCAUGCGUUCGUUGCGAAAAAAUCCACCCGAGUUUCGCUACACGGAAAUAGUGCGUUCGGGUGCCGAAAUGCACCCAUUUUGCCCCGUUUUUCGUUCCGGAACCGAAUGCUCAAAAAAACACCCCCAAACAUGUUCUAGGGUAUAAUUGGGAAGAUUGCAUGCGUUCGUUGCGAAAAAAUCCACCCGAGUUUCGCUACCCAGCAAUAGUGCAUUCGGGUGCCGAAAUGCACCCGUUUUGCAUCAUUUUUCGUUCCGGAACCGAAUGCUCAAAAACACUCCCAAACAUGUUCUAGGUUAUAAUUAGGAAGAUUGCAUGCCUUCGUUGCGAAAAAAUCCACCCGAGUUUCGCUACGAGGAAAUUGUGCAUUCGGGUGCUGAAAUGCACCCGUUUUGCAUCGUUUUUCGUGCCAUAACCGAAUGCUCAAAAAGACUCCCAAACAUGUUCUAGGGUAUAAUUAGGAAGAUUGCAUACGUUUGUUGCGAAAAAAUCCACCCGAGUUUCGCUACCCGGAAAUAGUGCAUUCGGGUGCCGAAAUGCAGCCGUUUUGCAUCAUUUUUCAUGCUAGAACCGAAUGCUCAAAAACACUCCCAAACAUGUUCUAGGGUCUAAUUACGUAGAUUGGAUGCGUUCGUUGCGAAAAAAAUCCACCUGAAUUUCGCUACCCGGAAAUAGUGCAUUCGGGUGCCGAAAUGCACCCAUUUUGCAUCAUUUUUUGUUCCGGAAUCGAAUGCUCAAAAACACUCCGAAACAUGUUCUAGGGUCUAAUUAUGAAGAUUGCAUGCGUUCGUUGCGAAAAAAUCUACCCGAGUUUCGCUACCCGGAAAUAGUGCAUUCGGUUGCUGAAAUGCACCCGUUUUGCAUCGUUUUUCGUGCCGGAACCGAAUGCUCAAAAACACUCCAAAACAUGUUCUAGGGUCUAAUUAGGAAGAUUGCAUGCAUUCGUUGCGAAAAAAUGCACCCGAGUUUCGCUACCCGGAAAUAGUGCAUUCGGGUGCCGAAUUGCACCUGUUUUGUAUCGUUUUUCGUUCUGGAACCGUUGCUCAAAAACACUCCCAAACAUGUUCUAGGGUAUAAUUAUGAAGAUUGCAUGCGUUCGUUGCGAAAAAAUCCACCCGAGUUUCGCUACACGGAAAAAGUGCAUUCGGGUGCCGAAAUGCACCCGUUUUGCAUCGUUUUUCGUUCCGGAACCGAAUCCUCAAAAAGACUCCCAAACAUGUUCUAGGGUAUAAUUAGGAAGAUUGCAUGCGUUCGUUGCGAAAAAAUCCACCCGAGUUUCGCUACACGGAAAAAGUGCAUUCGGGUGCCGAAAUGCACCCGUUUUGCAUCGUUUUUCGUUCCGGAACCGAAUGCUCAAAAAGACUCCCAAACAUGUUCUAGGGUAUAAUUAGGAAGAUUGCAUGCGUUCGUUGCGAAAAAAUCCACCCGAGUUUCGCUACACGGAAAAAGUGCAUUCGGGUGCCGAAAUGCACCCGAUUUGCCUCGUUUUUCGUUCCGGAACCGAAUGCUCAAAAACACUCCUAAACAUGUUCUAGGGUAUAAUUAGGAAGAUUGCAUGCGUUCGUUGCGAAAAAAUCCGCCCGAGUCUCGCUACCCGGCAAUAGUGCAUUCGGGUGCCGAAAUGCACCCGUUUUGCAUCAUUUUUCGUUCCGGAACCGAAUGCUCAAAAACACUCCCAAACAUGUUCUAGGGUAUAAUUAGGAAGAUUGCAUGCGUUCGUUGUGAAAAAAUCCACCCGAGUGUUGCUACCCGGCAAUAGUGCAUUCGGGUGCCGAAUUGCACCCGUUUUGCAUCAUUUUUCGUUCCGGAACCGAAUGCUCAAAAACACUCCCAAACAUGUUCUAGGGUAUAAUUAGGAAGAUUGCAUGCGUUCGUUGCGAAAAAAUCCACCCGAGUGUCGCUACCCGGCAAUAGUGCAUUCGGUUGCCGAAAUGCACCCGUUUUGUAUCGUUUUUGUUCUGGAACCGUUGCUCAAAAACACUCCAAAACAUGUUCUAUGGUCUAAUUAGGAAGAUUGCAUGCAUUCGUUGCGAAAAAAUCCACCCGAGUUUCGCUACCCGGAAAUAGUGCAUUCGGGUGCCGAAUUGCACCUGUUUUGUAUCGUUUUUCGUUCUGGAACCGUUGCUCAAAAACACUCCCAAACAUGUUCUAGGGUAUAAUUAUGAAGAUUGCAUGCGUUCGUUGCGAAAAAAUCCACUCGAGUUUCGCUACACGGAAAAAGUGCAUUCGGGUGCCGAAAUGCACCCGUUUUGCAUCGUUUUUCGUUCCGGAACCGAAUGCUCAAAAACACUCCCAAACAUGUUCUAGGGUAUAAUUAGGAAGAUUGCAUGCAUUCGUUGCGAAAAAAUCCACCCGAGUUUCGCUACCCGGCAAUAGUGCAUUCGGGUGCCGAAAUGCACCCGUUUUGCAUCAUUUUUCGUUCCGGAACCGAAUGCUCAAAAACACUCCCAAACAUGUUCUAGGGUAUAAUUUGGAAGAUUGCAUGCGUUCGUUGCGAAAAAAUGCACCCGAGUUUCGCUACACGGAAAAAGUGCAUUCGGGUACCGAAAUGCACCCGUUUUGCAUCGUUUUUCGUUCCGGAACCGAAUGCUCAAAAACACUCCCAAACAUGUUCUAGGGUAUAAUUAGGAAGAUUGCAUGCAUUCGUUGCGAAAAAAAUCCACCCGAGUUUCGCUACCCGGCAAUAGUGCAUUCGGGUGCCGAAAUGCACCCGUUUUGCAUCAUUUUUCGUUCCGGAACCGAAUGCUCAAAAACACUCCCAAACAUGUUCUAGGGUAUAAUUUGGAAGAUUGCAUGCGUUCGUUGCGAAAAAAUCCACCCGAGUUUCGCUACCCGGCAAUAGUUCAUUCGGGUGCCGAAAUGCACCCAUUUUGCCUCGUUUUUCGUGCCGGAACGGAAUGCUCAAAAACACUCCCAACCAUGUUCUAGUCUAUAAUUAGGAAGAUUGCAUGCGUUCGUUGCGAAAAAAUCCACCCGAGUUUCGCUACACGGAAAUAGUGCGUUCGGGUGCCGAAAUGCACCCAUUUUGCCCCGUUUUUCGUUCCGGAACCGAAUGCUCAAAAAAACACCCCCAAACAUGUUCUAGGGUAUAAUUGGGAAGAUUGCAUGCGUUCGUUGCGAAAAAAUCCACCCGAGUUUCGCUACCCAGCAAUAGUGCAUUCGGGUGCCGAAAUGCACCCGUUUUGCAUCAUUUUUCGUUCCGGAACCGAAUGCUCAAAAACACUCCCAAACAUGUUCUAGGUUAUAAUUAGGAAGAUUGCAUGCCUUCGUUGCGAAAAAAUCCACCCGAGUUUCGCUACGAGGAAAUUGUGCAUUCGGGUGCUGAAAUGCACCCGUUUUGCAUCGUUUUUCGUGCCAUAACCGAAUGCUCAAAAAGACUCCCAAACAUGUUCUAGGGUAUAAUUAGGAAGAUUGCAUACGUUUGUUGCGAAAAAAUCCACCCGAGUUUCGCUACCCGGAAAUAGUGCAUUCGGGUGCCGAAAUGCAGCCGUUUUGCAUCAUUUUUCAUGCUAGAACCGAAUGCUCAAAAACACUCCCAAACAUGUUCUAGGGUCUAAUUACGUAGAUUGGAUGCGUUCGUUGCGAAAAAAAUCCACCUGAAUUUCGCUACCCGGAAAUAGUGCAUUCGGGUGCCGAAAUGCACCCAUUUUGCAUCAUUUUUUGUUCCGGAAUCGAAUGCUCAAAAACACUCCGAAACAUGUUCUAGGGUCUAAUUAUGAAGAUUGCAUGCGUUCGUUGCGAAAAAAUCUACCCGAGUUUCGCUACCCGGAAAUAGUGCAUUCGGUUGCUGAAAUGCACCCGUUUUGCAUCGUUUUUCGUGCCGGAACCGAAUGCUCAAAAACACUCCAAAACAUGUUCUAGGGUCUAAUUAGGAAGAUUGCAUGCAUUCGUUGCGAAAAAAUGCACCCGAGUUUCGCUACCCGGAAAUAGUGCAUUCGGGUGCCGAAUUGCACCUGUUUUGUAUCGUUUUUCGUUCUGGAACCGUUGCUCAAAAACACUCCCAAACAUGUUCUAGGGUAUAAUUAUGAAGAUUGCAUGCGUUCGUUGCGAAAAAAUCCACCCGAGUUUCGCUACACGGAAAAAGUGCAUUCGGGUGCCGAAAUGCACCCGUUUUGCAUCGUUUUUCGUUCCGGAACCGAAUCCUCAAAAAGACUCCCAAACAUGUUCUAGGGUAUAAUUAGGAAGAUUGCAUGCGUUCGUUGCGAAAAAAUCCACCCGAGUUUCGCUACACGGAAAAAGUGCAUUCGGGUGCCGAAAUGCACCCGUUUUGCAUCGUUUUUCGUUCCGGAACCGAAUGCUCAAAAAGACUCCCAAACAUGUUCUAGGGUAUAAUUAGGAAGAUUGCAUGCGUUCGUUGCGAAAAAAUCCACCCGAGUUUCGCUACACGGAAAAAGUGCAUUCGGGUGCCGAAAUGCACCCGAUUUGCCUCGUUUUUCGUUCCGGAACCGAAUGCUCAAAAACACUCCUAAACAUGUUCUAGGGUCUAAUUAUGAAGAUUGCAUGCGUUCGUUGCAAAAAAAUCUACCCGAGUUUCGCUACCCGGAAAUAGUGCAUUCGGUUGCUGAAAUGCACCUGUUUUGCAUCGUUUUUCGUGCCGGAACCGAAUGCUCAAAAACACUCCAAAACAUGUUCUAGGGUCUAAUUAGGAAGAUUGCAUGCAUUCGUUGCGAAAAAAUGCACCCGAGUUUCGCUACCCGGAAAUAGUGCAUUCGGGUGCCGAAAUGCAGCCGUUUUGCAUCAUUUUUCAUGCUAGAACCGAAUGCUCAAAAACACUCCCAAACAUGUUCUAGGGUCUAAUUACGUAGAUUGGAUGCGUUCGUUGCGAAAAAAAUCCACCUGAAUUUCGCUACCCGGAAAUAGUGCAUUCGGGUGCCGAAAUGCACCCAUUUUGCAUCAUUUUUUGUUCCGGAAUCGAAUGCUCAAAAACACUCCGAAACAUGUUCUAGGGUCUAAUUAUGAAGAUUGCAUGCGUUCGUUGCGAAAAAAUCUACCCGAGUUUCGCUACCCGGAAAUAGUGCAUUCGGUUGCUGAAAUGCACCCGUUUUGCAUCGUUUUUCGUGCCGGAACCGAAUGCUCAAAAACACUCCAAAACAUGUUCUAGGGUCUAAUUAGGAAGAUUGCAUGCAUUCGUUGCGAAAAAAUGCACCCGAGUUUCGCUACCCGGAAAUAGUGCAUUCGGGUGCCGAAUUGCACCUGUUUUGUAUCGUUUUUCGUUCUGGAACCGUUGCUCAAAAACACUCCCAAACAUGUUCUAGGGUAUAAUUAUGAAGAUUGCAUGCGUUCGUUGCGAAAAAAUCCACCCGAGUUUCGCUACACGGAAAAAGUGCAUUCGGGUGCCGAAAUGCACCCGUUUUGCAUCGUUUUUCGUUCCGGAACCGAAUGCUCAAAAAGACUCCCAAACAUGUUCUAGGGUAUAAUUAGGAAGAUUGCAUGCGUUCGUUGCGAAAAAAUCCACCCGAGUUUCGCUACACGGAAAAAGUGCAUUCGGGUGCCGAAAUGCACCCGAUUUGCCUCGUUUUUCGUUCCGGAACCGAAUGCUCAAAAACACUCCUAAACAUGUUCUAGGGUAUAAUUAGGAAGAUUGCAUGCGUUCGUUGCGAAAAAAUCCGCCCGAGUCUCGCUACCCGGCAAUAGUGCAUUCGGGUGCCGAAAUGCACCCGUUUUGCAUCAUUUUUCGUUCCGGAACCGAAUGCUCAAAAACACUCCCAAACAUGUUCUAGGGUAUAAUUAGGAAGAUUGCAUGCGUUCGUUGUGAAAAAAUCCACCCGAGUGUUGCUACCCGGCAAUAGUGCAUUCGGGUGCCGAAUUGCACCCGUUUUGCAUCAUUUUUCGUUCCGGAACCGAAUGCUCAAAAACACUCCCAAACAUGUUCUAGGGUAUAAUUAGGAAGAUUGCAUGCGUUCGUUGCGAAAAAAUCCACCCGAGUGUCGCUACCCGGCAAUAGUGCAUUCGGUUGCCGAAAUGCACCCGUUUUGUAUCGUUUUUGUUCUGGAACCGUUGCUCAAAAACACUCCAAAACAUGUUCUAUGGUCUAAUUAGGAAGAUUGCAUGCAUUCGUUGCGAAAAAAUCCACCCGAGUUUCGCUACCCGGAAAUAGUGCAUUCGGGUGCCGAAUUGCACCUGUUUUGUAUCGUUUUUCGUUCUGGAACCGUUGCUCAAAAACACUCCCAAACAUGUUCUAGGGUAUAAUUAUGAAGAUUGCAUGCGUUCGUUGCGAAAAAAUCCACUCGAGUUUCGCUACACGGAAAAAGUGCAUUCGGGUGCCGAAAUGCACCCGUUUUGCAUCGUUUUUCGUUCCGGAACCGAAUGCUCAAAAACACUCCCAAACAUGUUCUAGGGUAUAAUUAGGAAGAUUGCAUGCAUUCGUUGCGAAAAAAUCCACCCGAGUUUCGCUACCCGGCAAUAGUGCAUUCGGGUGCCGAAAUGCACCCGUUUUGCAUCAUUUUUCGUUCCGGAACCGAAUGCUCAAAAACACUCCCAAACAUGUUCUAGGGUAUAAUUUGGAAGAUUGCAUGCGUUCGUUGCGAAAAAAUGCACCCGAGUUUCGCUACACGGAAAAAGUGCAUUCGGGUACCGAAAUGCACCCGUUUUGCAUCGUUUUUCGUUCCGGAACCGAAUGCUCAAAAACACUCCCAAACAUGUUCUAGGGUAUAAUUAGGAAGAUUGCAUGCAUUCGUUGCGAAAAAAUCCACCCGAGUUUCGCUACCCGGCAAUAGUGCAUUCGGGUGCCGAAAUGCACCCGUUUUGCAUCAUUUUUCGUUCCGGAACCGAAUGCUCAAAAACACUCCCAAACAUGUUCUAGGGUAUAAUUUGGAAGAUUGCAUGCGUUCGUUGCGAAAAAAAUCCACCCGAGUUUCGCUACCCGGCAAUAGUUCAUUCGGGUGCCGAAAUGCACCCAUUUUGCCUCGUUUUUCGUGCCGGAACGGAAUGCUCAAAAACACUCCCAACCAUGUUCUAGUCUAUAAUUAGGAAGAUUGCAUGCGUUCGUUGCGAAAAAAUCCACCCGAGUUUCGCUACACGGAAAUAGUGCGUUCGGGUGCCGAAAUGCACCCAUUUUGCCCCGUUUUUCGUUCCGGAACCGAAUGCUCAAAAAAACACCCCCAAACAUGUUCUAGGGUAUAAUUGGGAAGAUUGCAUGCGUUCGUUGCGAAAAAAUCCACCCGAGUUUCGCUACCCAGCAAUAGUGCAUUCGGGUGCCGAAAUGCACCCGUUUUGCAUCAUUUUUCGUUCCGGAACCGAAUGCUCAAAAACACUCCCAAACAUGUUCUAGGUUAUAAUUAGGAAGAUUGCAUGCCUUCGUUGCGAAAAAAUCCACCCGAGUUUCGCUACGAGGAAAUUGUGCAUUCGGGUGCUGAAAUGCACCCGUUUUGCAUCGUUUUUCGUGCCAUAACCGAAUGCUCAAAAAGACUCCCAAACAUGUUCUAGGGUAUAAUUAGGAAGAUUGCAUACGUUUGUUGCGAAAAAAUCCACCCGAGUUUCGCUACCCGGAAAUAGUGCAUUCGGGUGCCGAAAUGCAGCCGUUUUGCAUCAUUUUUCAUGCUAGAACCGAAUGCUCAAAAACACUCCCAAACAUGUUCUAGGGUCUAAUUACGUAGAUUGGAUGCGUUCGUUGCGAAAAAAAUCCACCUGAAUUUCGCUACCCGGAAAUAGUGCAUUCGGGUGCCGAAAUGCACCCAUUUUGCAUCAUUUUUUGUUCCGGAAUCGAAUGCUCAAAAACACUCCGAAACAUGUUCUAGGGUCUAAUUAUGAAGAUUGCAUGCGUUCGUUGCGAAAAAAUCUACCCGAGUUUCGCUACCCGGAAAUAGUGCAUUCGGUUGCUGAAAUGCACCCGUUUUGCAUCGUUUUUCGUGCCGGAACCGAAUGCUCAAAAACACUCCAAAACAUGUUCUAGGGUCUAAUUAGGAAGAUUGCAUGCAUUCGUUGCGAAAAAAUGCACCCGAGUUUCGCUACCCGGAAAUAGUGCAUUCGGGUGCCGAAUUGCACCUGUUUUGUAUCGUUUUUCGUUCUGGAACCGUUGCUCAAAAACACUCCCAAACAUGUUCUAGGGUAUAAUUAUGAAGAUUGCAUGCGUUCGUUGCGAAAAAAUCCACCCGAGUUUCGCUACACGGAAAAAGUGCAUUCGGGUGCCGAAAUGCACCCGUUUUGCAUCGUUUUUCGUUCCGGAACCGAAUCCUCAAAAAGACUCCCAAACAUGUUCUAGGGUAUAAUUAGGAAGAUUGCAUGCGUUCGUUGCGAAAAAAUCCACCCGAGUUUCGCUACACGGAAAAAGUGCAUUCGGGUGCCGAAAUGCACCCGUUUUGCAUCGUUUUUCGUUCCGGAACCGAAUGCUCAAAAAGACUCCCAAACAUGUUCUAGGGUAUAAUUAGGAAGAUUGCAUGCGUUCGUUGCGAAAAAAUCCACCCGAGUUUCGCUACACGGAAAAAGUGCAUUCGGGUGCCGAAAUGCACCCGAUUUGCCUCGUUUUUCGUUCCGGAACCGAAUGCUCAAAAACACUCCUAAACAUGUUCUAGGGUCUAAUUAUGAAGAUUGCAUGCGUUCGUUGCAAAAAAAUCUACCCGAGUUUCGCUACCCGGAAAUAGUGCAUUCGGUUGCUGAAAUGCACCUGUUUUGCAUCGUUUUUCGUGCCGGAACCGAAUGCUCAAAAACACUCCAAAACAUGUUCUAGGGUCUAAUUAGGAAGAUUGCAUGCAUUCGUUGCGAAAAAAUGCACCCGAGUUUCGCUACCCGGAAAUAGUGCAUUCGGGUGCCGAAAUGCAGCCGUUUUGCAUCAUUUUUCAUGCUAGAACCGAAUGCUCAAAAACACUCCCAAACAUGUUCUAGGGUCUAAUUACGUAGAUUGGAUGCGUUCGUUGCGAAAAAAAUCCACCUGAAUUUCGCUACCCGGAAAUAGUGCAUUCGGGUGCCGAAAUGCACCCAUUUUGCAUCAUUUUUUGUUCCGGAAUCGAAUGCUCAAAAACACUCCGAAACAUGUUCUAGGGUCUAAUUAUGAAGAUUGCAUGCGUUCGUUGCGAAAAAAUCUACCCGAGUUUCGCUACCCGGAAAUAGUGCAUUCGGUUGCUGAAAUGCACCCGUUUUGCAUCGUUUUUCGUGCCGGAACCGAAUGCUCAAAAACACUCCAAAACAUGUUCUAGGGUCUAAUUAGGAAGAUUGCAUGCAUUCGUUGCGAAAAAAUGCACCCGAGUUUCGCUACCCGGAAAUAGUGCAUUCGGGUGCCGAAUUGCACCUGUUUUGUAUCGUUUUUCGUUCUGGAACCGUUGCUCAAAAACACUCCCAAACAUGUUCUAUGGUAUAAUUAUGAAGAUUGCAUGCGUUCGUUGCGAAAAAAUCCACCCGAGUUUCGCUACACGGAAAAAGUGCAUUUGGGUGCCGAAAUGCACCCGUUUUGCAUCGUUUUUCGUUCCGGAACCGAAUCCUCAAAAAGACUCCCAAACAUGUUCUAGGGUAUAAUUAGGAAGAUUGCAUGCGUUCGUUGCGAAAAAAUCCACCCGAGUUUCGCUACACGGAAAAAGUGCAUUCGGGUGCCGAAAUGCACCCGUUUUGCAUCGUUUUUCGUUCCGGAACCGAAUGCUCAAAAAGACUCCCAAACAUGUUCUAGGGUAUAAUUAGGAAGAUUGCAUGCGUUCGUUGCGAAAAAAUCCACCCGAGUUUCGCUACACGGAAAAAGUGCAUUCGGGUGCCGAAAUGCACCCGAUUUGCCUCGUUUUUCGUUCCGGAACCGAAUGCUCAAAAACACUCCUAAACAUGUUCUAGGGUAUAAUUAGGAAGAUUGCAUGCGUUCGUUGCGAAAAAAUCCGCCCGAGUCUCGCUACCCGGCAAUAGUGCAUUCGGGUGCCGAAAUGCACCCGUUUUGCAUCAUUUUUCGUUCCGGAACCGAAUGCUCAAAAACACUCCCAAACAUGUUCUAGGGUAUAAUUAGGAAGAUUGCAU